CGCCCCUUAGUGCUGCAGCUAACGCAUUAAGCACUCCGCCUGGGGAGUACGGCCGCAAGGCUGAAACUCAAAGGAAUUGACGGGGGCCCGCACAAGCGGUGGAGCAUGUGGUUUAAUUCGAAGCAACGCGAAGAACCUUACCAGGUCUUGACAUCCCGCUGACCGCUUAGGAGACUAAGCUUUCCCUUCGGGGACAGCGGUGACAGGUGGUGCAUGGUUGUCGUCAGCUCGUGUCGUGAGAUGUUGGGUUAAGUCCCGCAACGAGCGCAACCCUUGAUCUUAGUUGCCAGCAUUCAGUUGGGCACUCUAAGGUGACUGCCGGUGACAAACCGGAGGAAGGUGGGGAUGACGUCAAAUCAUCAUGCCCCUUAUGACCUGGGCUACACACGUGCUACAAUGGACGGUACAAAGGGCUGCCAACCCGCGAGGGGGAGCCAAUCCCAGAAAACCGUUCUCAGUUCGGAUUGCAGGCUGCAACUCGCCUGCAUGAAGCCGGAAUCGCUAGUAAUCGUGGAUCAGCAUGCCACGGUGAAUACGUUCCCGGGCCUUGUACACACCGCCCGUCACACCACGAGAGUUUGUAACACCCGAAGUCGGUG
rnacentral:rRNA from 1 species